UCUUUGACGGUCCAGUGGUUAAGACUCUGCACUCCAAAUGCAGGAGAUUCUGGUUUGAUCCCUGGUCAGGGAA
rnacentral:tRNA from 1 species